UAAUUUAAUUAGAAAUUUGGAUUGAUUAGAAAUUCGUCUUUCCAAAUAUUCUAUUCAAUUUUCAAUAUAAAAUCUAUACAAAAAUAUGAUUGAAAAUUGAUGACUCUAUCCUUGAGGGUUAAUAAAGAAAGGUAUCAUACUCGUAACUCAUGAAAAGGAAUAUCAGUGCAAAUAGCUAUAAUUAUACUUGCGUAUGAAAGGAAGUAUCAAGGAUUGAAUUGGCAAAUAACUGUUGGCGUUGGAUCAAGAAGUUUUUUAAGCAAACACAAGGAAAGAAGUUUUUGCGCAAGAAAGGAAAGAGGAAGGAUAUGCUAGAGGUUAACGUCUUUCCUUCGUUCAGAACGACAAUAUGACUAAUAAGAAUGAGUACAUCACUGAUACGUGUUGUCACUUCUACUAAAAAUUUUGCAGCAGUACUGCAGUAUUUUUACCCUUGACAACUUGUCGUGUAAUCGCGCUAAACGUUCGUGCGCGGACGACGUGAAAUCAUUACACUACUCUAAACCUUAUGCGAACUUCAUACUAUUGAAAAUUUUUAUUUUAUUGUUUAUAUCAAUGAUUUACAAAUAAGGUUUUUUAAUGAAUCGCAAAGAUGUAAUUCAUUUAAUCCACAUUUUUUUAUUUUUUAACAUUCCAAAUGAGAAAUAUUGAUUUCGUAUGCAACAUAUUUUUGUGUAUGUGUGAACAAAAUCAUCCAAAUAUAUUUCCUUAAUUUAUUAAACUUCUUAUUUUUCCAUUUCUUAUAAAUUUCUUAUAUAUCUCGUAAAAGUACACGAUAGUGAUUAAACAUGAUAUUUAUAAAUUAUAACUGUUAAUAUUUGAUUUAAAACGGUACAUACUUCAUUUAUGAAUCCCUAACUAUUAUUAAGUAAGUGCUGCCAUCUAUCGAGUGAAGAUUCGAAGGUAUUUGUCAGAUCAAAAUCGCUCUUAUGACAAAUACUAAUUGACAAAGUUGCUAAUUGCGUUUUACACUUAUAUCAAAAUGAUUGUACACACAAAUUCUAAUAUCUUAAAUGUAUAUUAUUCUCAUAAAAGCUAUUUAUUCACAUAUGUGAUACUUUUGUUUAAUUAAAUAAUCACAUUUUCGAUCUUAUGGAAUACACAAAUUUCUAAAAUUUACGAAAACUAAAUACAUAGUGCCAGUAAUAAUUCUUACUUAGUAUAUGACAUUUAGUAUUAAACGAAGAUUUAUUUUAGCUGUGUCAAUGUAUGUGUUUAUUUUGGAAUUAAAGAAUAAUCGAUAUGAUAGCAAAAAUCUUAUUUACAAAUAGCCAUAUUUAUCUUUUGAAUUACAAAAAAGUAGCAAUAUUAUUUAACAAAUAUUACUUUUUAGUGCAGCGCAUUAAUAGGGAGAUUAAUCCUAAUAACCGUCAUGACAAUCCUAGCACAAUUUUCCAAUGUGAUUUUAUUAUCACUCUUUGGCAAACAACGUCACCAACCGUAUGAUGAUGUAUUUUGUCAAACGUUUUUACACGAUAACGAAACCUUUACACCAACAGGACGGUUACACCUUGAAACAACGAAAUAGCCUCUCGUAUUCUCCUAUGUUUACGGGAUAUUUUCUUAUAAUUAGAUAACCAUUCUCCCUUCCCCUGCACGCCUAUGCAGGUAACUACUAAAAAUAGAAUUUUGCGAUAUUUUUACAUUGGAUGCUAGAAAUGCUAUUUUAAAAUGUAACCGCAUAACUCCUUGUGAAAUGAACUAUAAUUUAAUUUAUAAACCGAUAUUGAGAAAAAUUGUCGCGAUUUAUUACGAUUUUCGACAAGGAAAAGAUGGAAAGGAUUCUCUUCUACAAAUAUUGUAUAAGAAAAUAAACUCUUUUAACGACUUU